rnacentral:rRNA from 1 species
AACGAACGCUGGCGGCGCGCCUAAUACAUGCAAGUCGAGCGAGAAGACGUAGCAAUACGUUUGUAAAGCGGCGAACGGGUGAGGAAUACAUGGGUAACCUACCCUCGAGUGGGGAAUAACUAGCCGAAAGGUUAGCUAAUACCGCGUACGCUCCUUGGACUUCGGUUCAGGGAGGAAAGCGAUACCGUGGGUAUCGCGCUCUUGGAUGGGCUCAUGUCCUAUCAGCUUGUUGGUGAGGUAACGGCUCACCAAGGCUUCGACUGGUAGCUGGUCUGAGAGGACGAUCAGCCACACUGGCACUGCGACACGGGCCAGACUCCUACGGGAGGCAGCAGUAAGGAAUAUUGCGCAAUGGGCGAAAGCCUGACGCAGCGACGCCGCGUGGGGGAUGAAGGUCUUCGGAUUGUAAACCCC